rnacentral:rRNA from 1 species
UACGGAGGGUGCAAGCGUUAAUCGGAAUUACUGGGCGUAAAGCGCGCGUAGGCGGCUGGGUAAGUCGAUUGUGAAAGCCCCGGGCUCAACCUGGGAAUUGCAGUCGAGACUGCUCGGCUAGAGUGUGGGAGAGGGUGGUGGAAUUCCCGGUGUAGCGGUGAAAUGCGUAGAUAUCGGGAGGAACAUCAGUGGCGAAGGCGGCCUGCUGGGCUGUUGCUGACGCUGAGGCGCGACAGCGUGGGGAGCAAACAGG